UGGUGGAGUGAUUUGUCUGCUUAAUUGCGAUAACGAACGAGACCUUGACCUGCUAAAUAGCCCGGCUGACUUUUGUCGGCCGCUGGCUUCUUAGAGGGACUUUUGGCUCAAGCCAAUGGAAGUACGAGGCAAUAACA
rnacentral:rRNA from 1 species